UUUAGAGUAUUUUCGAAAAGUUUUAUGGCCUCCAUGGAUAUGAAGGGCAAAGCUUCUUCUAUUGUAUUCAUUGAACCAAAAGAACCCUCGGUUAAUGGAACAUUGUUUGACUUUCUAAAUUACGCUUUAUUU